rnacentral:lncRNA from 1 species
GUGGUGGGCUGGUAGCUGGAGCCACAAAAUUAAGCUUUAAUGAAGCCAGAGUGCUGCUGUCUGCAGAUGUCUGAUCUCUUCUGCCCUCGUGUGGUUAUUAUCAACGUGCGUAUAUACAGCUCACUAAGAAGAGAUGCACGCACCUCCGGAGUCCCGUGGGCAAAUACCUUUUCAGUUCAGAACUCUGUGAGAUGUAUGAAACAUAACGCUUCUCCACCAGGCUGCAGUCUGCAUAAUCCCAGGGACCAUUCCUGCUUCCAGAGCUGCUGCUUUUUUAUUGAUGACUGUGGGGAUGCGAUACGAAUGUGCUCUGUUCAGCUUAGCAUAUUUAAUCCUAUCUCCCUGUGAUUAUGCUGCUGCAAAAAUUCGUCAAACAUCAGAUGUAUACAGUAAGGACCCUUCAAACACAGGAACUUUUGCCUUUAGAAAUCCUGACUCAAAGAAAUCCUGCAAGUUCAUCGUCCUCUAGCAGGACAUAAGAAGGAUAAUAACAUCAAAUGUUAUACAUCAAAAAAUUAUUUUAAACUCUCCAUCCCUCAAGAAUUCCUAUACAAUGGCAUUCAAGCUGCUAUAGUUUUCCCCAUAACUAGCAGGAUGAAAAGCUGAUCCAUCCUGUGGAUAAUGCUGAAGGAGUGUUAUAUGACAUUAGUGCAUUGGGCCUUUUAAAUCCUGUGUUUGAGGAGUCAGUGUGUGGGGGUUUCACCCUCACAUAAACAUUAGUACUCUGGGCAAGUGCAUAUUUUGUCUUUCUAUUGAAAAUAACAAAAGAGGAAAAGGUAAACUUAUGUCCUUUCAUUAAACAAAGGAUAAUAUAAUGCCUUAGAAAUAGGCUACAGAAGUUUUGUGGGUUUUUUUUUUCCACCCUGAAUGUGUCCUAAGUUUGUAAAUAGUUAAUAUUUUCUUUAACACCAGUUAAUCUAUAAAUAUCUUUUUUACAUCUGGAUAACAGCAGGCUUAAUACAUCAGUGUGUCAAACAGUGCAAGUUUCGCUUUGAUUCUCCCACUUUAAGAUAAGCCACCAUGUGUGCCAGACAGCUGUUUUUUCUCAUAGCUUCCCACAUAACUAAAUCUUCUGCAUAGUUACAAAGCAAAAAAUGACACCAGAAUCACAGAGAUAUAUGUGCAUUACUCAGGACGAAAUGGCUUCUGCUUACUUGCUUCAGCCAAGUAUAAACCAUGAAAAAGUACGCUGACCUUGCUUCUACAGGCAAAUUUCUUGUUGGAGUGUUUUGUUCCAAUAGUAAACACUCCGUGCCCAGAUUUUUCCACCUUUGCUGCAUGUCUGAAGUAAACAGCAGAAAUUAUGCAACUUUUAUACAAGGUGGUAAGUACAAUUGGCAUUCAUAUCUCCCUCCCUUUUAGAGGCUGCUUUCCACAGCCUGAAUUGCUCAAUAUAAUUAAUACACAUUUUAAUGCUAACUAAUUGGUCACAAAAUUCUCGUGGUAAGUAGCAGAGUAUCUGUUCUUACAUAUCUGCAAAGGUUUAUGCAUUAUUGUUAUGAAGGUUAACUUUUUAACAUCCCUUAGAAUUACACAGGUAAAUUAUUACUAGCUUACAAAUAUUAAGGAUGAGGAGAUUCUGAAGCUUGUGUGCUUCCCAUUUAGGCCUUUCAGAGCCCCAAAAUUAUGUGGCUGAUGUCAGAAGAUGAUUUGAGAGAGCCAGAGGCUGCUCUGCACAGUCAAUGGGAAGAGCCAAGCCCUUCUAAAGGCCAAUGUUCAGUGACCGAGGAGAAUAAGGGCCCUCAAAGGGUGUUCCACAAAUGUGGCUUUGAGGUGUAUAUGCUUGAAAGGAAUUGGGAGGAAAGAGGUAUAGAGAGUGCAAAGACUGCUUCAGCAGGGGAAGGGGAAGUGGCAAAAGAUUUGGCUUUUGGGAGGCCUAGGAGUGUGUAGAAGAAAUAAGAAUUGCUUUUGACAAUGCAAAAAUAAGUUUAUUAGUAUGAGUCUUGUCUUGUAAUUUAACUUGGAUGACCAGAAACUUGGGAAGAUUUUUGUAGAAGCACAUGAUUUUGAAAAGAUGUUAUCAAAAGCCUAAAGGUUUUGUAAACUCAUCAAAACCUACACAAUGCUAGAAAUCCAGUAAAACGGAAAGGAAAAGCAAAACUCUGUACCUCACAAUAUAUACAAAUACAGACAAGAAGUACUAUUAUAUAUAUUUUUUUUAAGAACUUUCACCAAACUGGUAAUUUUUACAUCUGUUCAUCCUCUUGUUCUGCCAAAUAAGUGGAAUGUUUAAGAGGGAUGAUGACUUCUGCCAAGGUUUGCUUAGCAAAAGUGCUUUGCCUGUUUUAGAAAUAAAUGAUGCUCAGUCUACUGCA